rnacentral:rRNA from 1 species
GACGAACGCUGGCGGCGUGCCUAAUACAUGCAAGUUGAGCGAUGAAGAUUGGUGCUUGCACCAAUUUGAAGAGCAGCGCACGGGUGAGUAACGCGUGGGGAAUCUGCCUUUGAGCGGGGGACAACAUUUGGAAACGAAUGCUAAUACCGCAUAACAACUUUAAACAUAAGUUUUAAGUUUGAAAGAUGCAAUUGCAUCACUCAAAGAUGAUCCCGCGUUGUAUUAGCUAGUUGGUGAGGUAAAGGCUCACCAAGGCGAUGAUACAUAGCCGACCUGAGAGGGUGAUCGGCCACAUUGGGACUGAGAAACGGCCCAAACUCCUACGGGAGGCAGCAGUAGGGAAUCUUCGGCAAUGGACGAAAGUCUGACCGAGCAACGCCGCGUGAGUGAAGAAGGUUUUCGGAUCGUAAAACUCUGUUGGUAGAGAAGAACGUUGGUGAGAGUGGAAAGCUCAUAAAGUGACGGUAACUACCCAGAAAGGGACGGCUAACUACG